UACGAACUGUGCGAACGUUAUUCGGAAUCACUGGGCUUAAAGGGCGCGUAGGCGGCGGUGUAAGUUGGAAGUGAAAUCCCAUCGGCUCAACCGUGGAAUUGCUCCCCAGUACUGCAUCGCUCGAGGGGGAUAGGGGUCUGCGGAACUACCGGUGGAGCGGUGAAAUGUGUUGAUAUCGGUGGGAACGCCAGUGGCGAAAGCGGCAGACUAGACCCUUCCUGACGCUGAUGCGCGAAAGCUAGGGGAGCAAACGGGG
rnacentral:rRNA from 1 species